rnacentral:rRNA from 1 species
UACGGGGGGGGCAAGCGUUUGUUCGGAAUUACUGGGCGUAAAGGGCUCGUAGGCGGCCAACUAAGUCGGACGUGAAAUCCCCAGGCUCAACCUGGGAACUGCGUCCGAUACUGGCGGGCUUGAAUCCGGGAGAGGGAUGCGGAAUUCCUGGUGUAGCGGUGAAAUGCGUAGAUAUCGAGAGGAACACCUGCGGCGAAGGCGGGUUGCUGGGCUGACACUGACGCUGAUUGUGCGAAAGCUAGGGGAGCGAACAGG